rnacentral:misc_RNA from 1 species
GAGUAAAUGCAAAUAAAAAAUAACAGGUCAAGGAAGGAAACAGUAUAUAGGCAUAAACAAAAUGCAACUUAAUCCUUAUGGCCGUUUUCAUAUAGUUUAGCCAGUAAAUACCUUGCCGGUUAUUUGGGUUAAAAUGAAGGGACAAUGUUCAAUGCAAAGGAUAAAUGUAAUCUUUCACAAAAAAUCGUAUAGCAAUUUGUAGUGGUAAAAUAUAUUUUAAUUAUAUAAUCUGAUGUCCGGACAGUGUAUUUGAACAUCAUUUCUUUCUCUACCUUCUACAGAUGGCAAGUCCAA